rnacentral:rRNA from 1 species
ACUCAAAGGAAUUGACGGGGGCCCGCACAAGCGGUGGAGCAUGCGGUUUAAUUCGAUGCAACGCGAAGAACCUUACCUACUCUUGACAUCCAGAGGAGGUUGCAGAGAUGCGACUGUGCCGCGAGGAACUCUGAGACAGGUGCUGCAUGGCUGUCGUCAGCUCGUGUUGUGAAAUGUUGGGUUAAGUCCCGCAACGAGCGCAACCCUUGUUCUUUGUUGCCAGCACGUAGAGGUGGGAACUCAAAGGAGACUGCCGGUGAUAAACCGGAGGAAGGUGGGGACGACGUCAAGUCAUCAUGGCCCUUACGAGUAGGGCUACACGCGUGCUACAAUGGCUGAUACAGAGGGAUGCGAGCUAGAGAUAGUGAGCGGAACCCAGAAAGUUAGUCCAAGUCCGGAUUGGAGUCUGCAACUCGACUUCAUGAAGUAGGAAUCGCUAGUAAUCGCAAAUCAGAAUGUUGCGGUGAAUACGUUCCCGGGCCUUGUACACACCGCCCGU